UACGUAGGCAGCAAGCGUUGUUCGGAAUUACUGGGCGUAAAGAGUGUGUAGGCGGUGCUCUAAGUUUGGUGUGAAAUCUCCCGGCUUAACCGGGAGGCUGCAUCGAAUACUGGAAUGCUAGAGGGUGGGAGAGGUAAGCGGAAUUCCUGGUGUAGCGGUGAAAUGCGUAGAUAUCAGGAGGAACACCUGUGGUGUAGACAGCUUACUGGACCACUUCUGACGCUGAGACACGAAAGCGUGGGUAGCAAACAGG
rnacentral:rRNA from 1 species